AUGGGCACGAAUUCGUACGCCAAGAAAGGGGACAUACUGUCGAGGUUCCUGCUGGAGAGGGAGAAAGACCCCGGCUGCUUCGGCAACAAGUACCUGCGGGACAUCAUCCUCAACUUCGUGAUCGCCGGCCGCGACACGACGGCGGGGACGCUCUCGUGGUUCCUCCACGUGCUCUGCAGAGACCAGCGCAUCCAGGACAAGAUCGCGCGGGAGGUGCGGGAGGCCACCAGUACCGGCGACCGCCAGGACGCGGGCGGCGUGGAAGAGUUCACGGCGCGCCUGACCGAAGACGCCAUCGGCAGCAUGCACUACCUCCACGCCGCGCUCACGGAGACCCUCCGGCUGUACCCGGCGGUGCCCGUCGACGUCAAGUGCUGCUUCUCGGAUGACACGCUGCCGGACGGGCACACCGUGAGGAGAGGGGACAUGGUCAACUACCAGCCCUUCGCCAUGGGCCGGAUGAAGUUCCUAUGGGGCGACGACGCCGAGGAGUUCAGGCCGGAGAGGUGGCUCGACGGUGACGGCGUGUUCGUCCCGGAGAGCCCCUACAAGUUCACCGCUUUCCAGGCGGGGCCUCGGAUCUGCUUGGGAAAGGAGUUCGCCUACAGGCAGAUGAAGAUAUUUGCAGCCACUCUUCUCUACCUCUUCAGGUUUGAGAUGUGGGACCGCGGCUCGACGGUGGGCUACCGUCCGAUGCUCACGCUCAAAAUGGACGGCCCGCUCUAUGUUCGUGCGUCGCCCCGUCGAUCUAUCGGGAACUAG
rnacentral:rRNA from 1 species